rnacentral:lncRNA from 1 species
GGCUGCGCUCCUCUAAUUGGGACUCCGAGUCGCGGCUAUUUCUGGUGUUGGCGCGGCUCCAAGAAGGCAUCCGCAUUUGCGACCGGCGGCGGCGGCAGAGCCCAGGCCGGUGCCCUGCGCCUAGCCCCGCCGCACCCGGCAGCCCCGAGCGCGCCCCGCCGGCGGCCUGCGGAGCUCGCGAGCCAGACUCACUCUGUGCUGCCCCACACAUAGAGAAGCAGAAUGAGCGAGUCGGUCUCAAAGUCCAGCCAGCCCCUGGCCUCCAAGCAGGAAAAGGAUGGGACUGAGAAGCGAGGCCGGGGCAGGCCGCGCAAGCAGCCUUCGAAGGAGCCCAGUGAAGUGCCAACCCCGAAGAGACCCCGGGGCCGGCCGAAGGGAAGCAAGAACAAGGGCACAGCCAAGACGCGGAAAGUUACCACAACUCCGGGGAGGAAACCAAGGGGCAGACCCAAGAAACUGGAGAAGGAGGAAGAGGAGGGCAUCUCCCAGGAGUCCUCGGAGGAGGAGCAGUGACCACUUGCAGUGCCGCCUGCUCCUUGGCCACUGAGGAGCGGCCUUCCCCUGGGACUGGAAGCCCUGCUCCCAGGCCCCGCCCCGCCCCCACUGCACACUACCGCACCAGGCACCAGCUGCAGGCUCUGCGGCACCCACGGGAGCAGGAUUUGGCUCAGUCCCUGUGCCCUCCUCCCCAACACACCUGCCCCCUCCUGACAAGGUUAACUUCCCAUCAAGCCGCAGCCCAGCCUGCUGCGUGCCUCCCU